AACGAACGCUGGCGGCAUGCCUGACACAUGCAAGUCGAACGAGACCUUCGGGUCUAGUGGCGCACGGGUGCGUAACGCGUGGGAAUCUGCCCUUCGGUUGGGAAUAACUGAGAGAAAUUUCAGCUAAUACCUUAUAAUGUCUUCGGACCAAAGAUUUAUCGCCGAGGGAUGAGCCCGCGUAGGAUUAGGUAGUUGGUGGGGUAAUGGCCUACCAAGCCGACGAUCCUUAGCUGGUCUGAGAGGAUGAUCAGCCACACUGGGACUGAGACACGGCCCAGACUCCUACGGGAGGCAGCAGUGGGGAAUAUUGGACAAUGGGCGAAAGCCUGAUCCAGCAAUGCCGCGUGAGUGAUGAAGGCCUUAGGGUUGUAAAGCUCUUUUACCCGGGAUGAUAAUGACAGUACCGGGAGAAUAAGCUCCGGCUAACUCCGU
rnacentral:rRNA from 1 species